AACGCACCUUGCGCUCCUUGGUAUUCCGAGGAGCAUGCCUGUUUGAGUGUCAUUGAAUUCUCAACCAUGUCUUGAUGUCGUCGAGCGCAUGGCUUGGAUGUGGGGGUUGCUGGCGGCGCGAGCUGUCGGCUCUCCUUAAAUGCAUUAGCAAAGGGCGAGCCUUUCGUGCACGGCCUUCGACGUGAUAAUGAUCGUCGUGGCUGGAGCGGAAGGCAUGAAUCGUCGUUGCUUCUAAUCUCUGAUCCUUUUGGGAUCGCUUUCGAAACUUGACCUCAAAUCAGGUAGGACUACCCGCUGAACUUAA
rnacentral:misc_RNA from 1 species